AUUGAACGCUGGCGGCAUGCCUUACACAUGCAAGUCGAACGGUAACGCGGGGCAACCUGGCGACGAGUGGCGAACGGGUGAGUAAUGUAUCGGAACGUGCCCAGUUGUGGGGGAUAACUGCUCGAAAGAGCAGCUAAUACCGCAUACGACCUGAGGGUGAAAGCGGGGGAUCGCAAGACCUCGCGCAAUUGGAGCGGCCGAUAUCAGAUUAGGUAGUUGGUGAGGUAAGGGCUCACCAAGCCGACGAUCUGUAGCUGGUCUGAGAGGACGACCAGCCACACUGGGACUGAGACACGGCCCAGACUCCUACGGGAGGCAGCAGUGGGGAAUUUUGGACAAUGGACGCAAGUCUGAUCCAGCCAUGCCGCGUGCGGGAAGAAGGCCUUCGGGUUGUAAACCGCUUUUGUCAGGGAAGAAACGCUCUGGGUUAAUACCUCGGGGUAAUGACGAUACCUGAAGAAUAAGCACCGGCUAACUACGUGCCAGCAGCCGCAGUAAUAC
rnacentral:rRNA from 1 species